GCCUGGUGGCAAAAUGGUUAAGCGCUUGGCUGCUAACCAAAAUGUCGGAGGUUUGAACCCACCCAAAGGCU
rnacentral:tRNA from 1 species